AACGCACCUUGCGCCCCUUGGUAUUCCGAGGGGCACACCCGUUUGAGUGUCGUGAAAACCUCAACCUCCUUGGUUUCUUCUGGAGACCAAAGCAGGCUUGGACUUUGGAGGCCUUUGCUGGCACCUCUCUGUCAGCUCCUCUUAAAUGAAUUAGCAGGGUCCUCUUUGCUGAUCCUUGACGUGUGAUAAGAUGUUUCCAUGUCUUGGUUUCUGGCUCUGUCACUUUUGGGACCCGCUUCUAACCGUCUUGACCUUGCGUCGAGACAAUGUUCGAGCACGUCUCCCUUCUCGGGAAGCUCCCUCGACCCCACGAACCCUUGACCUCAAAUCGGGUGAGACUACCCGCUGAACUUAA
rnacentral:misc_RNA from 1 species